GUGCUCCGCGCGUGUCUGUCUGUGUGCACUCGGAUGAAGCACUACCUGCUCUCGCAGCCGCGCACAGCAGGCGGGUCGCCACGUCGUGCAUCCCUCGCGGCGGCACCCGGGCCCACCCACCAGUAGGCAGCGUGAGGGCCGGGCGUGGGAUACGCUCGGGUCGCGCACACACCCCGCCCAUCACAUGGACGGCACGGGCGCGUGCACGGUCACAGGCCGCCCCGACGCAGCGCCAUCCAGGGCCCGGCCGCCGGCAUCCGUGGGGAUACAUCGCUCUGGCCACCCCUACGCCAUAGAUGCUUGGCCCUGUCACCACCAGGGGCUGUUCAGCACUGGCAAGGAUAGAGCGAGAGGGAAGGGGGAGGGGGGGCUGCUCGGCCUCCCAAAAGAGAAGGUGCGCGGUGGACCCUGAGAUGCCACGCACGGAGAUGCCCCUCAUCAUGCGGGGAGAUGAGGCGAAGAGGGAGAGGAAAAAAUGGAGCUGAUAAAAAGGAAGCGAUCGAGUCGGAGAAAGUGAUGCUGCGAGAGGCGGGCAAGGAGGGAGGCGACUGCAUCUUUUCUUUUCGCUUCUUGGGACGCAUGCCGCGCGAAGUGGAUGCUGCGGCUAUUCGGUAGCACUCACAUGUCUUUGUGUGCAUGUGCCUGCACGCUUUUCCUUCUCGACCUUCCUCUCUCUCGUGGGUGGGCCUAAACUGGGUCACCGACUUUACCUUACAUUUUUUUCUCAUGCUGAUGGAGGGAUGGUCGUGGGAUAUGCUUACAAAGACACGGUUAUAGGCACACCCGCACGCGUCGACGGUCGGCGCUCCGUCGUCUCGCAUCAGCUCUUUGAGGGCUUUUUUCGUCGUUACAGCACCACGUCAACGACGUAAACGACAAAAAAGAAAGGGUAGAGCGAGCCUGCAGACACGUAGGAGCACACACACACACACACACACACACACGCUGAUGAGAACAUCACCACUGCGCACUCCUGGCGUUGGCCGGUGAGGAUAGCUGAUGCUGCACCGCGAGCGAGGUUGAGCGCGCUUUGCGCACCGACCUCAUCCCCUUCGCUCCGGCGCAUGCCCACGCCGCACAGCAGGCGAGUUUAGCGUGCUUUAUGGCGCGGCCGCUUCUCACGUGAGUCCCUUGUGUGGGAGAGGGUGGGGUGUGUAGGGGCUACACAGGCUUGCCUUCUCUCUGCUGUGUGAGCGUCCUGCUGGCGAAUGCUCAAGCCCACUCGUAAAGCCUCCUCUCUCUUCUGCUUCCCCCCUUACCGCUUCUUCACUGCAUCCCCUUCAUCACUGCUCCCACCCACUCGUCCUGAUCGUCGUGCGCUUGUGUGCUGUAUUUGCUCUGGCACUUGCGGCGCAUGCAUGCAG
rnacentral:misc_RNA from 1 species